GCAUGGUAAUGGAUUUAUGGUGGGCUCUUCUCAGUGGGCCUUUCAUAGUGUACCCAUGCCAGAGUAAACAGCAGCUUUAAACCAUUGCCUGGCUUUGUUACCUGUAGGCUAUGAGCACUGACUGAGGUUGCACAACU
ensembl:snoRNA